rnacentral:ncRNA from 1 species
CCUCCCGCUUCCCCUUCCCUCCCUGAGCGGGGCCGCUCGUGCAAUCGAGAGGCGUUGGGCCCUGGAGAUUGUUCCCCUUUCUCCAGGGCUUUUUUUU